rnacentral:rRNA from 1 species
GAUGAACGCUAGCGGCAGGCCUAACACAUGCAAGUCGAGGGGCAGCACAUGUAAGCUUGCUUAUAGGGUGGCGACCGGCGCACGGGUGCGUAACGCGUAUACAAUCUACCUUAUGCUGAGGGAUAGCCCAGAGAAAUUUGGAUUAACCCCUCAUGGUAUUAGAGAAUGGCAUCAUUUUUUAAUUAAAGGUUACGGCAUAAGAUGAGUAUGCGUCCCAUUAGCUAGUUGGUAGGGUAACGGCUUACCAAGGCUACGAUGGGUAGGGGUCCUGAGAGGGAGAUCCCCCACACUGGUACUGAGACACGGACCAGACUCCUACGGGAGGCAGCAGUGAGGAAUAUUGGACAAUGGGCGGAAGCCCGAUCCAGCCAUGCCGCGUGCAGGAAGACGGCCCUAUGGGUUGUAAACUGCUUUUAAACGGGAAGAAUAAGACCUACGUGUAGGUUGAUGACGGUACCGUAAGAAUAAGGACCGGCUAACUCCGU